CACAUCAUGUUGAAACACUAGUUCCUGUCCAAUCACCAAAGUUAAGCAAAAUCAAGCCUGGUCAAUACUUAGAUAGGUGACCACUUGGGAAUACCAGGUGUUGUAA
rnacentral:rRNA from 1 species